ACAGUAGCAGUAGUUGUUUAAAACAUAAUUAGUCGGUAAAGGGCAGCGUCGGGAAGUACUUUCAGGAAGUAGUUUGUUGCCGUGUUUGAGUGACAGCCCAUAACGGGACGGCGGACGGUGUUGUAUCGAAAAAGGCACCCCUGCCAUGAAAAGCACCCCUGUCGUCGGAAGCGCAUUAGAAGGCAGAUAGGCAGCCCGCAGAGCCGAGCCGAUACUCAAGAUGGCAGGUCUAUCUUUAUACUUUGAAGAUGGCCAUGAUGAUCUGGACGAUUGUAAGUAUAUCAAUAAAUUUGUAUGACAAAAUAUAGACAUAUAUAUUUAAA